rnacentral:lncRNA from 1 species
GGGUCUACUUGAAAGAUAGAAGUAAAAGACACACUCCCAAGUUCAGCUGCCUCGGGGGAGGAGAUAUGCUGAAGAUAUCCACAGUAUGGUUCUAUUCAUAGUACCUAUUGUUCCUCUCCCAUGGAAUAUCAGACCUUGGGUCAUGCCCUAUUGGACACUCUAUGUCAGUUAUUAAAUCCUCACCAAAUUCUGAAAUUUAGAGAACAGCUCCAGCAGUCUGAAGAGGUGUCGGAAAUUGGUCACAGGGGCCGCGUGUCCAAAGUCAACUGA